rnacentral:piRNA from 1 species
UAAUUCAGAAACAAAGUAUCCCUACUGUGGCC